AAUCCAUAGGUUAAUGAGGCGAACCGGGGGAACUGAAACAUCUAAGUACCCCGAGGAAAAGAAAUCAACCGAGAUUCCCCCAGUAGCGGCGAGCGAACGGGGAGGAGCCCAGAGCCUGAAUCAGCAUGUGUGUUAGUGGAAGCGUCUGGAAAGGCGCGCGAUACAGGGUGACAGCCCCGUACACAAAAGCGCAUGUGCUGUGAGCUCGAUGAGUAGGGCGGGACACGUGGUAUCCUGUCUGAAUAUGGGGGGACCAUCCUCCAAGGCUAAAUACUCCUGACUGACCGAUAGUGAACCAGUACCGUGAGGGAAAGGCGAAAAGAACCCCGGCGAGGGGAGUGAAAAAGAACCUGAAACCGUGUACGUACAAGCAGUGGGAGCACAGGUUUACCUGUGUG
rnacentral:rRNA from 8 species